UGUAAACAUCCUUGACUGGAAGCUGGGGUUUAAAUUGUGAAGGCUUUCAGUCGGAUGUUUACA
rnacentral:pre_miRNA from 13 species